UCGCCAUUGGAGCGGCCCGCGUUGGAUUAGGUAGUUGGUGAGGUAAAGGCUCACCAAGCCUACGAUCCAUAGCUGGUCUGAGAGGAUGAUCAGCCACACUGGGACUGAGACACGGCCCAG
rnacentral:rRNA from 1 species